rnacentral:rRNA from 1 species
UACAGAGGCCCCGAGCGUCGUUCGGAUUUACUGGGCGUAAAGCGGAUGUAGGUGGUCAUGUAAGUCAGAUGUGAAAGCCCUGGGCCUAACCCGGGAACUGCAUUUGAUACUGCGUGACUGGAGUGCAGAAGAGGAGAGUGGAAUUCCUAGUGUAGGGGUGAAAUCCGUAGAUAUUAGGAGGAAUACCGAUGGCGAAGGCAACUCUCUGGUCUGUAACUGACACUGAGAUCCGAAAGCGUGGGUAGCAAACAGG